CUCUCCUUCUCUCUCUGCUACCACAAGUUUACGAGUCUUUGAGAAUGAAAACAAAACCAAAAGGCUGGAAAGAGUAUGAUUUUGAUUUUGUAGUUAUCAUAACUAUCAUAAGUUAUAUGAGUCUUUGCGUUUAAUUCCUUCUCGUCGGGUUCGAUUUAGUCUUUUCGUUUAUGUCUUUGGUCCUAUACCGCAAAUGUAUUUUAAUCCAUCAUCUCAGAUUUUGAUCCUUUAAUCACUGGCCUCAAAAGGCGGCUAGAAAGAGUUGACAUUUUAGUCAACAUUAGACUUUUCACCGUGUGUUAGAGGUAUCAUAGAUUUUCCCAGAUGAGGGCAAGGGGCCGUCCACACAUACCUCCAUAUUGGUAUAGACAACAAAUACCUAUGUUUGCAUGAUAUUGUCUACUAUGGUUUCACUCUCGUAUCAUUGAAGAUAGUUGUCUUUACUUAUAUUUCAUUGAUCUUUCCUUAUCUAGCCAAUGUGAGACCAUGACUAUGAUCAUACUCCAAAAAAUACUCACCUCAAACAAAGUACCACACUUGAGCUUUCUCAAACAAAUCUAUCCACUCCCAAUAGCGAGAGUUUGCUCUUCAUCUUGAGGCAACUAUCACAUCCUGAGGCCACAUUCAGAUAGGACAUGAGCAUAGAUAAUUCCAAUUGACAAUGAGAGUUUAUUUUGUUUUUACCAUGACAGGGAAACGACAAGACCACCUAGGUAGAGCACAAGUGAGCCUCAUUAAUUCUCUUUGUUUGAAAUCUAAGGAUUUCUCCGACAUACAGCUAGGUUUAGACCAUAGCUUUAAUACCAAUUGAUAAGAGCAACAAACCCUUCAUAUAUCUUCACAUUGGUUUGAUAUUGUUCUAUUUCGGGCAUAACCUCUCAUGACUUAGCUUUUGAUUUCACCUAAAAAACUUCAUACCAAUACUCGAUAGAGAUAAUUGUUCUCGUUUAGUAUAUGGAUGGCUCUCUUUCCUAGCCGAUGUAGAACUUUGUUUGUAAAGUUUUGGUCUCUUUGUAAUGGAUGACUCAUAACUACCUUAAGUUUAAAAAAAAUGACGAAAGAAGGAAAAAAGAAAUAUGAGGAAAAUAGUAGAGAUUAAAAGGAAACAUAUGAAAUCUUCUGGCUGUUCAUUCUUAAAGCAGUAACUGAUAUUAAAUUAAAGCAUCUAAGAAAUCUCCCAGUUAUUCAUGAAGAAGUUUACACCAAAAUGGAAAAACCACACUAAUGUCUGUAUUGUUUCUGUCAAAUUCUUCCUUGAACGGUUAAACUGCAUAUACUAUUGUUCUAUAGUGUCUAUAUUAAAUUAAAACAUUUUCACAUGGAAGUACCUUCUUAACCAGUUUCUCCAUUCCCUGAAACAAAAAUUGGAACAAGGAUCUAAAAAUGUAGCUUUGGUAUGAAAUAACAUUCAAAAUCUUCUAAUUUUAUUUUCAGUUUUUUGUUAAAUGAUGGAUUGAUAAUUUAUUAGUCAUGCAGUGCUUGGAGGAAGCAAGGAAAGAAUUAAUAAGAUGUUUAAAAAGGUUGAGCUUUCUGUUUCUACAUGUGAUACUGGUUGGAUGGCAAUGGUUCCUACUCCAGGCUGCCCCAAAACCCCUCUUUUUCCUGAGUGCUUAAACUGGUUGUUGGGUAAUCAACUCCCUUACAACCGUCCCAUCAUGACAAAGGCUAGGCUCUUAUCUACCUUAGCCUGUCUUCUUGCUCUUAAGUGGUGGGAUGCUGGUCAAGAACAUUUGAUCAAAAUAUUAGUUUCUAAAUGUUCUUGGAGUUUUCUGUUCUUUGGAAUUUAACUUUCUUCCUUCAAGCAGGCUUCAGUUGUCAACUGAAAGGCAUUUACCUUCUCAUGCAGGCCUUAACUUUAUUGAGUCAAAUUUAGAUUCUGCUACUGAUGAAAAGCAACAUUCUCCUAUUGGAUUUCACAUCAUUUUCUCUAGCAUGAUUGAGUAUGCUAAAACUCUGGAGUUAAAUUUACCAUUGCCACAAUCUAACAUGGAUGCGUUGUUUCGUAGGAGAGAAUUGAAGCCUAAUAGAAGCAACUCUGAAGGGGGACAAAAGCCUAUUUGGCCUGUUCCUGAUAUUUCAGAAGGAAUUGGAAAAUCACAAGACUGGGACAUGGUCAUGACUUUUCAAAGAAAAAACACUUCACUGUUUAAUUCUCCAUUCGCAACAGCAGCGGCUUUUAUGAACCUUAAUAAUGAUAAUUGUCUUGAUUAUCUUCACUUACCUGUACAGAAGUUCGGCAGUGGAAAUUCCUUUGUAAUCACUUUUUCUUUCCCCACCCCCCUCUCUCCAUUUACAUGUCAAUUAUUUGGAUGUAACUCUUUUGUUGGAACUGAAAUGCAGCAUUUACAAAAGAGUUAUGCAUAUGGUUGAAUUAUGCAUAUGGUUGAUAGCCUUCAAACAUUGGGUAUUAUAUCAAAAAGAGGAAAUUUAGAGUGUCCUGGACAAAACUUAAAGGAUACCACUUGAAUUACUCAAUUCCGCUACAAAGUCUACCCGAUGGAAAGUCGAGAGAUAAAGUGGGCAAGAUUGUGGGUAUUCUAACUUCACUUCUGGUAAGGCUCAUCGGUCAAGCUCAAUUUCUAGAUGCUACAGCUAAAUCUAAGGCUACUACCUAGCUAGCUGUGCUCUUUCCUUCUCCCCUCUCAAAGCUACAAAAUUCCGUCACGGGUUUAGCGCUUCGACCCUGUCCUCCCUUGGGGGUUGGUCUCUUGGAUUAUCCUUCCUGUUUUGAGUGUCUUCUUGGAUAGUUAUAGCGGCCCAUAGGCGCAAGAUCCCUUGGGAAACCAUGAAACAACUAACACCCUUGAUUGUUUACCCCAAAAACAGGCCUUGGCUCAAAGGGGAGGAAAAUAUACUCUUUAGAUUCUUCGACCUGUGCAAUGGCCUUCUGAAUGUUACACGUCAAUGGAUAUGAGG